CUAGAAAAUAAACACGGUCCAACGUUGUUUGCUUUCCAUUUCCCUUCUACUCUGAUAUUAUGUGAUUUGGUUUAUUCAUAUUACUGUCCAUAGCAUAUUUGUUGUGCACACAGUUAUAAAUUCGUUUUCUCGACACUGCACAGGCAAGGGGGAAAUCUUCUUAUAGAUCUGUUCUGUCACUGUGACAAUCAUUUGGGAGAGAAACAAGUAAACAACCCUUUUUCCCAUAAAACUCCAUCUGGAAGUGCACGACAGCCACUACAGUUGACUAACGAUGUAACCAAGAUGAUGCAAAAGCAUCAGCUGGAAACGCCACAGUUCCAUCAGACCCGGUUUCCGUUUUACUGAAUGUACCGAGGAGCACAGAGAAGUGUGUGACAUAACUAAUACAUGCCUUCCUUAUUCCUCUGCUUCUCCCUUUCCCUUUCUUAACAGUUUAUUUUCACGUUGUUGCUGGAAUCCAUCUAAGAGAUGUCUCCUUUUUAAUUCCUCAUUCUUGGCUGCCUGCUAUGUUGGAUGAUCAGAUGUCAUUUCCAUCCCUAAGACAAACAAGAACUACAGGCUGCUUCCGUCUUCACCCAAUCAGGGAUGAGGAUGCCAAGUUCAAGCUCUACAACGGGAGGUCUGUUCAGUUUGACGUCGGCAACGUGGUCAUGGUGACCGGCGGGAGGAACACUGGGCGUGUAGGAGUGAUCAAGAACUGGGAGAAGCACAAGGGCAUCUUUGAGGUCAUCGACGUGCUUCUUGGAGCUUUUUGCAUGCUAUGUCUAGUUUUCUCCUAUUUGUUGUACAGGAAAACAUAGAAUGAAAUUCAAAUUUGGUGGUCGCAAAAGUGUGGAGACUUGAAUUCAUAUAAAGUUAGGCUUAACAUUAGUGCAAACAGUUGUAUUUUAGUUUAGAUUUAGAGUACACUUAUGUAUGCCUUGUUUGAUAAUGC